rnacentral:rRNA from 1 species
CCUACGGGUGGCAGCAGUGGGGAAUAUUGCACAAUGGGGGAAACCCUGAUGCAGCGACGCCGCGUGAGUGAAGAAGUAUUUCGGUACGUAAAGCUCUAUCAGCAGGGAAGAAAAAAAGUCCUUUGGACUUUGGACGGUACCUGACCAAGAAGCCCCGGCUAACUACGUGCCAGCAGCCGCGGUAAUACGUAGGGGGCAAGCGUUAUCCGGAUUUACUUGGUGUAAUGGGAGCGUAGGCGGCAGCGCAAUUCUGGAGGGAAAUGCCGGGGGCGAACCCCGGAACUGCUUUUGAAACUGGGCAGCUGGAGUGCAGGAGAGGUAAGCGGAAUGCGUAGUGUAGCGGUGAAAUGCGUAGAUAUUAGGAGGAACACCAGUGGCGAAGGCGGCUUACUGGAGUGUAACUGACGUUGAGGCACGAAAGCGUGGGGAGCAAACAGGAUUAGAUACCCCAGUAGUC